CCAAACCGCUUUGCGGAGAGGUCGAGCUGAAAGGGAACUCUGCUGAGGUGUUUGUGACACGGAGGGUGAUCUGAUGGUCCCGCUGCUCGCGUUUCUAACAGUACUACAACGAGAGAAACGCAGCCCGUUCCAAAGACGUCUGCACUGCGGGAGUGGAACGGGUGCACCUGAGGCUAAACAUGCGCUCCUCCACCAAAAACCCCUGGCCGACAGAAAUGGGGAUAUUGCAUGUUGUGGUGGAGUGACUCCCGAAGGAGAAGCCGUCCUGCAGAAACCUCAAACGUGUCCAGAGACCUGACCUCCCGCUGGUCAUCUACCUAAUGUGAGCAGAGGGACGGCGUGACAUCGGCGGGGGUUACGACAGCGUGGGGAAUGGAGGAGGACACGUACCGUGGUGAGUAUCAUUCAUUCACACAGACUCUCCUGCAGCAACUCAAACAACGGCCCUCUUCCGUCCACCUGAUUCACGCCUGUCAUAACUGUGUGUGUUUUGUACCGCAAAAAACAACGACAGAGCGGGAGAAAGCUGAAUCCGACUUUGUAACCAGUCUUUUUUUGGUGGAGACCCUCUUCAAUGUUCUCCUGUGAGCGAGUGUGUUUUAAGGGAAUGAAGAGC
ensembl:lncRNA